AAUAGAUACCCCGGUAGUCCACGCCGUAAACGAUGUGCACUAGAUCGAGGCGGCUCUCACGCCCUCUCGGUCGAAGGAAAACCGAUAAGUGCACCGCCUGGGGAGUACGGUCGCAAGGCUAAAACUCAAAGGAAUUGACGGGGGCUCACACAAGCGGUGGAGCAUGUUGCUUAAUUCGAGGCAACGCGAAGAACCUUACCUGGGCUUGACAUGCACGGAUUAACCUUUCGAAAGAUUGGCCACGCCUUCGGGUGGAACGUGCACAGGUGUUGCAUGGCUGUCGUCAGCUCGUGCUGUGAAGUGUCGGGUUAAGUCCCUUAACGAGCGCAACCCCUGUCGCUAGUUGCCAGCGCGUCGUGGCGGGGACUCUAGCGAGACUGCCGGUGUCAAACCGGAGGAAGGUGGGGAUGACGUCAAGUCCUCAUGGCCCUUACGUCCAGGGAUGCAAACGUGCUACAAUGGCGUGGACAGAGCGACGCGAGGCCGCGAGGCGGAGCAAAUCGCAAAAAACCCGCGCCCCAGUUCGGAUUGCAGG
rnacentral:rRNA from 1 species